rnacentral:rRNA from 1 species
GUCCUUUUGAUUAUAAUUUAAGGUCUAGCCUGCCCAAUGAUGAAAAUUUAAUGGCCGCAGUAUACUGACUGUGCAAAGGUAGCAUAAUCAUUAGUUUUUUAAUUGAAAGCUUGUAUGAAAGGUUUGAUGAAAAAAGAAUUGUCUCUAAAUAAAAUUUUUGAAUUUUAUUUUUAAGUUAAAAAGCUUAAAUUAGUAUUGAAGACGAGAAGACCCUAUAGAGUUUUAUUUAUGCAAUAAUAAAUUAAGUUUUAGGAUUUUAAAUUUGUAUUAUUAAGUAAAUUUAGUUGGGGUGAUUGAAAAAUUUAUUAAACUUUUUUUUUAUUUAAACAUUUAUUUAUGAAUUUUUGAUCCUUUAUAAGAUUAUAAGAUAAAAUUACCUUAGGGAUAACAGCGUAAUUUUUUUUAGAGUUCUUAUCGAAAAAAAAGAUUGCGACCUCGAUGUUGGAUUAAAAUUAAAUUUUUGGUGUAGAAGCUAAAAAAUUAGGUCUGUUCGACCUUUAAAUUUUUACAUGAUCUGAGUUUAAACCGGUGUAAG